AACGAACGCUGGCGGCAGGCUUAACACAUGCAAGUCGAACGCACCCUUCGGGGUGAGUGGCAGACGGGUGAGUAACGCGUGGGAACGUGCCCUUCAGUUCAGGAUAACCCAGGGAAACUUGGGCUAAUACCGGAUACGUGCGAGAGCAGAAAGAUUUAUCGCUGAAGGAUCGGCCCGCGUCUGAUUAGCUAGUUGGUGGGGUAAUGGCCCACCAAGGCGACGAUCAGUAGCUGGUCUGAGAGGAUGAUCAGCCACAUUGGGACUGAGACACGGCCCAAACUCCUACGGGAGGCAGCAGUGGGGAAUAUUGGACAAUGGGCGCAAGCCUGAUCCAGCCAUGCCGCGUGAGUGAUGAAGGCCUUAGGGUUGUAAAGCUCUUUCGUCCGGGACGAUAAUGACGGUACCGGAAGAAGAAGCCCCGGCUAACUUCGUGCCAGCCGCCGCUGUAA
rnacentral:rRNA from 1 species